UGCAAAUGUAAAUGAGCGAAAUACCUAAUAAAAAAUGGAAAAAAAAAAAAAGAAAAAAAAAUGUGCAGCAUAAUGUCUCCGAAGACACACUUGUCCCAAUUCCCAAGCUUCUAUAUAUGUUACCUCACAUUACAGAGGGUCCUUCCAGUGUGGUUAAAUUAAGGAUCUUGAGAUGAAGAGAGUUUUCUGGGCUAAACAGAUAGCAUCACCUAGUCCUGGAGGUCCUCAUUAGAGAAGGCAAGAACAUCACUGACAGACAGAAAGCAGAAGGUGCUAUACUGUUGGCUCUGAAGGUGGAGCACAAGACCAUCGCUAUGGUAAACAGACAGUGUUUAGAGACUGUCAAAGCUAGGAAACAGAGUUUGCUCUCAACCCUCCAAAAGAAAAAUGAGUGAAGUAUUGAUUUGGGCCUAAUUCAAUCCAUUCUGAACUUCUGGUCUUCAGAACGAUGUAAUUAUGGUAAAGCCAAUUGCUCUAGUACGUUUAUAUUGUCAUAAAAUUUGUUAUGAGAUGCGAAGUUCAUAAACAACAGAAUGCCCAAGAUAAUUUAGGUGGCGAAUCUGACAUCAUUUGUCUUGUGAACGAUGUCUUCUAGUCUUGUUUUCACAUGGUACACUGACAAGAAAGUAUUUUAUUGUGUGUGCAUACUUAUCUAAGGGCACUAACUCCACUUAUAGGUGCUCUUCCUCAUGACCUGCUCAUGUCUCAAAGGCCACAAGUCUUCAUGCCAGGACUUUGGCCAUCUGGAGAUUCCCUCUUCCUAGAUGUCUCUAUCUCAUGUCAAGUUGACAAAGAACUAACCAGCACAUUCAUCAUGUAAAAUCUUUCUGAAUUGCUAAUCACUCUAGAGAGUGGCUACAGCCUUUCCCUUCAGAGUGCAAAUCCAGAAGUUUUAUGCAGGGAUGAGCACUGGCUGGUGGCUGUUCUGUCUGGUCCUAACAGUCCAUAAGAUAGAAAUGUGACACUAGCAAGAUUAUGCUGAAAGGACCCUGAUAUAGCUGUCUCUUGUCAGAGUAUGCCUGGGCCUAGCAAAC
rnacentral:lncRNA from 1 species